rnacentral:rRNA from 1 species
UGGGGAAUAUUGCACAAUGGGCGCAAGCCUGAUGCAGCCAUGCCGCGUGUGUGAAGAAGGCCUUCGGGUUGUAAAGCACUUUCAGCGGGGAGGAAGGCGUUAAGGUUAAUAACCUUGGCGAUUGACGUUACCCGCAGAAGAAGCACCGGCUAACUCCGUGCCAGCAGCCGCGGUAAUACGGCGGGUGCAAGCGUUAAUCGGAAUUACUUGGCGUAAAGCGCACGCAGGCGGUCUGUCAAGUCGGAUGUGGAAUCCCCGGGCUCAACCUGAGAACUGCAUUCGAAACUGGCAGGCUAGAGUCGUGUAGAGGGGGGUAGAAUUCCAGGUGUAGCGGUGAAAUGCGUAGAGAUCUGGAGGAAUACCGGUGGCGAAGGCGGCCCCCUGGACAAAGACUGACGCUCAGGAGCGAAAGCGUGGGGAGCAAACAGG